GAUGAACGCUGGCGGCGUGCCUAAUACAUGCAAGUCGAGCGAACAGACGAGGAGCUUGCUCCUCUGACGUUAGCGGCGGACGGGUGAGUCAUCCGUGGUUAACCUACCUAUUAGACUGGGAUAACUUUGGGAAAUCGGAGCUAAUAAUGGCUAAUAUAUUGAACCGCAUGGUUCUAUAGUGAAAGACGGUUUUGCUGUCCCUUAUAGAUGGAUCCGCGUCGCAUUAGCUCGUUGGUAAGGUAACGUCUUACCAUGGCAACGAUGCGUAGCCGACCUGAGAGGGUGGUCGGCCGCACUGGAACUGAGACACGGUCCAAACUCCUACGGGAAGCAGCAGUAGGGAAUCGGCCGCAAUGGGCGAAAACCUGACGGAGCAACGCCGCGUGAGUGAUGAAGGUCUUCGGAUCGUAAAACUCUGUUAUUAGGGAAGAACAAAUGUGUAAGUAACUAUGCACAUCUUGACGGUACCUAAACAGAAAGCCACGGCUAACUACGUG
rnacentral:rRNA from 1 species